rnacentral:tRNA from 1 species
GGUGUCGUGGUGUAGUUGGUUAUCACGUUAGUUUAACACGUUGAAGGUCUCUGGUUCGAGUCUGGGCGAUGCCA